rnacentral:tRNA from 1 species
AGGUUGUGGCUCAGUGGUAGAGCACUCGCCUAGCACGUGUGAGGACCUGAGUUCGAUCCUCAAUACCACCUA